UCCCUGGUGGCUCAGUAGGUUAAGGGCCCAGCAUUGCCACAGCUGUGGCUUGGGUUCACUCCCUGGCCUGGGAA
rnacentral:tRNA from 1 species